rnacentral:tRNA from 1 species
GCCGGCGAGCCCCGGCGGGCGCACCGGCCUUGCAAGCCGGCUGCCGCGGGGUCGACACCCGCCGCCGGCUCCA